rnacentral:rRNA from 1 species
CCUACGGGUGGCUGCAGUGAGGAAUAUUGGUCAAUGGACGAGAGUCUGAACCAGCCAAGUAGCGUGAAGGAUGACUGCCCUCUGGGUUGUAAACUUCUUUUAUAUGGGAAUAAAAUGUUCCACGUGUGGGAUUUUGUAUGUACCAUAUGAAUAAGGAUCGGCUAACUCUGGGCCAGCAGCCGCGGUAAUACGGAGGAUCCGAGCGUUAUCCGGAUUUAUUGGGUUUAACGGGAGCGUAGGUGGAUUGUUAAGUCAGUUGUGAAAGUUUGCGGCUCAACCGUAAAAUUGCAGUUGAAACUGGCAGUCUUGAGUACAGUAGAGGUGGGCGGAAUUCGUGGUGUAGCGGUGAAAUGCUUAGAUAUCACGAAGAACUCCGAUUGCGAAGGCAGUUCACUGGACUGCAACUGACACUGAGGCUCGAAAGUGUGGGUAUCAAACAGGAUUAGAUACCCGUGUAGUC